rnacentral:rRNA from 1 species
UGGGGAAUUGUUCGCAAUGGGCGAAAGCCUGACGACGCAACGCCGCGUGGAGGACGAAGAUCUUCGGGUCGUAAACUCCUGUCGAGCGGGAAGAAGAAUCCUCGGUUGAAUAUGCCGAGGAGUUGACGGUACCGCUAAAGGAAGCCCCGGCUAACUCCGUGCCAGCAGCCGCGGUAAUACGGGGGGGGCAAGCGUUGUUCGGAAUUACUGGGCGUAAAGGGCUCGUAGGCGGCCAACUAAGUCAGAUGUGAAAUCCCCAGGCUUAACCUGGGAACUGCAUCUGAUACUGGAUGGCUUGAAUCCGGGAGAGGGAUGCAGAAUUCCAGGUGUAGCGGUGAAAUGCGUAGAUAUCUGGAGGAAUACCGGUGGCGAAGGCGGCAUCCUGGACCGGCAUUGACGCUGAGGAGCGAAAGCUAGGGGAGCAAACGG